rnacentral:tRNA from 1 species
GCCCCCAUAGUUUAGUGGCAGAACGCAAGCAUGGUAAGCUUGAAGCGCAAGUUCGAUUCUCGCUGGGGGCACCA